UACGAAGGGGGCUAGCGUUGUUCGGAAUUACUGGGCGUAAAGGGCGCGUAGGCGGUGUGUCAAGUCAGGCGUGAAAGCCCCGGGCUCAACCUGGGAACCGCGCUUGAGACUGGCACGCUAGAGGUUCGGGAGAGGAUGGUGGAAUUCCCAGUGUAGAGGUGAAAUUCGUAGAUAUUGGGAAGAACACCGAUGGCGAAGGCAGCCAUCUGGACCGACACUGACGCUGAGGCGCGAAAGCGUGGGGAGCAAACAGG
rnacentral:rRNA from 1 species